AUUGAACGCUGGCGGCAGGCCUAACACAUGCAAGUCGAACGGUAACAGGAAACAGCUUGCUGUUUCGCUGACGAGUGGCGGACGGGUGAGUAAUGUCUGGGAAACUGCCUGAUGGAGGGGGAUAACUACUGGAAACGGUAGCUAAUACCGCAUAACGUCGCAAGACCAAAGAGGGGGAGCUUCGGGCCUCUUGCCAUCAGAUGUGCCCAGAUGGGAUUAGCUAGUAGGUGGGGUAACGGCUCACCUAGGCGACGAUCCCUAGCUGGUCUGAGAGGAUGACCAGCCACACUGGAACGGAGACACGGUCCAGACGCCUACGGGAGGCAGCAGUGGGGAAUAUUGCACAAUGGGCGCAAGCCUGAUGCAGCCAUGCCGCGUGUAUGAAGAAGGCCUUCGGGUUGUAAAGUACUUUCAGCGGGGAGGAAGGGAGUAAAGUUAAUACCUUUGCUCAUUGACGUUACCCGCAGAAGAAGCACCGGCUAACUCCGUG
rnacentral:rRNA from 1 species